rnacentral:piRNA from 1 species
GUCGACUUUGGGUGGGACACGUAGGC